UCAUAUUAGCAGGAAAAAGUGCAUCAUUUAAAAAUACCAACAGUAGCAUGUAAGAAUGAAAACCAUGACAGGAAAAGCAAAUGGCUUCGGAUCAUUGUAUCAAUGGAAAAAUAUAGUGACAGUGCAAGGCUGCAAUGGCUAGUGCGGCAAAAAUGACACCUAAACGGUGAUGACGUGCUGGCGGUAUGAACUUUUAGUCUGA
rnacentral:lncRNA from 1 species